UACGGAGGGGGCUAGCGUUGUUCGGAAUUACUGGGCGUAAAGCGCACGUCGGCGGACUGGAAAGUCAGAGGUGAAAUCCCAGGGCUCAACCUUGGAACUGCCUUUGAAACUCCCGGUCUUGAGGUCGAGAGAGGUGAGUGGAAUUCCGAGUGUAGAGGUGAAAUUCGUAGAUAUUCGGAGGAACACCAGUGGCGAAGGCAGCUCACUGGCUCGAUACUGAUGCUGAGGUGCGAAAGCGUGGGGAGCAAACAGG
rnacentral:rRNA from 1 species